rnacentral:rRNA from 1 species
CCUACGGGGAGCAGCAGUGAGGAAUAUUGGUCAAUGGACGCAAGUCUGAACCAGCCAGGCCGCGUGCAGGAAGACGGCUCUAUGAGUGGUAAACUGCGGUUGUACGAGGGUAAACGCAGAUACGCGUAUCUGUCUGAAAGUAUCGUACGAAUAAGGAUCGGCUAACUCCGUGCCAGCAGCCGCGGUAAUACGGAGGAUUCAAGCGUUAUGCGGAUUUAUUGGGUUUAAAGGGUGAGUAGGCGGUCGGAUAAGUUAGAGGUGAAAUCCCGAGGCUCAACUUCGGAAUUGCCUCUGAUACUGUUCGGCUAGAGCGUAGUUGCGGUAGGCGGAAUGUUUUGUGUAGCGGUUAAAUGCUUAG